rfam:Erinaceus europaeus unplaced genomic scaffold scaffold01670, whole genome shotgun sequence
UUUCUGUGAUGAAUCAAACUUGUUCACUAUGACUUGCACAAUUAAAAGAUAUGAACACCUGAGAAAC